CCAGGGAUCAAACCCGUGCCCCCUGCAGUGGAAGCGCAGUCUUAACCACUGGACCACCAAGGAAGUCCCUAGACACGCAAGGAAAUGUUACCAAAGAGGCCAACUUCUCGUGGACCAUCUAUGGACCAGACCGCCCCUUGUCCACAAUUCAAAGUCUCCAGGAAGACAUAGCACCACAAAGGACUUGAUAGAAAUAUACCAACAUGGGGACUUCCCUGGUGCAGCAGUGGUUAAGAAUCCGCCUGCCAAUGCCGGGGACACGGGUUCGAGUCCUGGUCCUGGAAGAGCCCACGUGCUGCAGAGCAACUAAGCCCAUGCGCCACAACUACUGAGCCCGCGUGCCACAACUACUGAAGCCCGUGUGCCUAGAACCCGUGCUCCGCAACAAGAGAAGCCACCGCAGUGAGAAGCCUACGCACCGCAACGAAGAGUAGCCCCUGCUCGCCGCAACUAAAGCCCACGCGCAGCAACGAAGACCCAACACAGCCAUAAAUAAAUAAAUAAAUAUUUUUUUUAAAAAAAAAGAAAGAAAUAUACCAAUAUGAUAAUGGUGAUGGUCACCAAGUAAUGGAAUUAUUAGGUGAUGUAUGUUUUCUUGGUUGUACUUUCCUGUAGGUUCUAAUUUUUCCACAGUGAAUAUGUAUUAUUUUUAAUCUGAACUGUUCUUAAGUACAAAAUAAUUAAAUGUGGGCCUAGUA